rnacentral:rRNA from 1 species
AUUGAACGCUGGCGGCAUGCCUUACACAUGCAAGUCGAACGGCAGCACGGGAGCAAUCCUGGUGGCGAGUGGCGAACGGGUGAGUAAUAUAUCGGAACGUGCCCAGUCGUGGGGGAUAACGUAGCGAAAGCUACGCUAAUACCGCAUACGAUCUAUGGAUGAAAGCGGGGGAUCGCAAGACCUCGCGCGAUUGGAGCGGCCGAUAUCAGAUUAGGUAGUUGGUGAGGUAAAGGCUCACCAAGCCGACGAUCUGUAGCUGGUCUGAGAGGACGACCAGCCACACUGGGACUGAGACACGGCCCAGACUCCUACGGGAGGCAGCAGUGGGGAAUUUUUGGACAAUGGGCGCAAGCCUGAUCCAGCAAUGCCGCGUGCAGGAUGAAGGCCU